rnacentral:rRNA from 1 species
UACGUAGGGCGCAAGCGUUAUCCGGAAUUAUUGGGCGUAAAGAGCUCGUAGGCGGUUUGUCGCGUCUGCUGUGAAAGACCGGGGCUCAACUCCGGUUCUGCAGUGGGUACGGGCAGACUAGAGUGAUGUAGGGGAGACUGGAAUUCCUGGUGUAGCGGUGAAAUGCGCAGAUAUCAGGAGGAACACCGAUGGCGAAGGCGGUUCUCUGGGCCUUACCUGACGCUGAGGAGCGAAAGCGUGGGGAGCGAACAGG